UACGUAGGUGGCAAGCGUUGUUCGGAAUUAUUGGGCGUAAAGGGCGCGUAGGCGGUUUGUUAAGUCGGCUGUGAAAAGCCCCGGGGCUCAACCCCCGGAGGGUCAGCCGAUACUGGCAGACUAGAGUACGGAAGAGGUAGCUGGAAUUCCCGGUGUAGCGGUGAAAUGCGCAGAUAUCGGGAGGAACACCAAUGGCGAAGGCAGCUCGCUGGGACGUGACUGACGCUGAGGCGCGAAAGCGUGGGGAGCAAACAGGG
rnacentral:rRNA from 1 species